rnacentral:rRNA from 1 species
CCUACGGGAGGCUGCAGUGAGGAAUAUUGGUCAAUGGCCGAAAGGCUGAACCAGCCAAGUCGCGUGAAGGAAGAAGGCCCUAUGGUUUGUAAACCUCUUUUAUCGGGGAAUAAAGGUAUCCACGUGUGGAUCUUUGCAUGUACCCUAUGAAUAAGCAUCGGCUAACUCCGUGCCAGCAGCCGCGGUAAUACGGAGGAUGCGAGCGUUAUCCGGAUUUAUUGGGUUUAAAGGGUGCGUCGGUUGUUUUUUAAGUCAGCGGUUAAAGUUUGUGGCUCAACCAGAAGCUGGCCGUUGAAACUGGAAGACUUGAGUGUGUUUGAGGUAGGCGGAAUGCGUGGUGUAGCGGUGAAAUGCAUAGAUAUCACGCAGAACUCCGAUUGCGAAGGCAGCUUACUAGGCCAAAACUGACACUGAAGCACGAAAGCGUGGGGAUCAAACAGGAUUAGAUACCCCAGUAGUC